GACGAACGCUGGCGGCGUGCUUAACACAUGCAAGUCGAACGAAGUGGCGAACGGGUGAGUAACGCGUAAUCAACCUGCCCUUCUGAGGGGGACAACAGUUGGAAACGACUGCUAAUACCGCAUACUGAAGGUGGGGCUUGCGUCGGAUUGGGUAGUUGGAGGGGUAACGGCCCACCAAGGCGAUGAUCAGUAGACGGUCUGAGGAGAUGAACGGUCAAAAGGGGACUGAGAAACGGCCCAGACUCCUACGGGAGGCAGCAGUGGGGAAUCUUCCGCAAUGGACGGAAGGCUGGCGGAGCAACGCCGCGGGAGUGAUGAAGGCCUUCGGGUUGUAAAGCUCUGUUAAUCGGGACGCGGUACCGGAAUAGAAAGCCACGGCUAACUACGUGCCAGCAGCCGCGGUAAUUC
rnacentral:rRNA from 1 species